ensembl:lncRNA
CAGGACUUGCUGAAUGGCAGUACAACCUUCUGGUAUGUCAGCUCUGUAUCAUUAGAAAACUUGCUGAAGGUGCAUUCUAUUCCUUCAUCCAGGUCACUGAUGAAGACAUUGAAGAACACUGGACUCGUAACUGACCCCUGGGGAACACUGCUAGAUACAGGCCUUCAGCUCAAUUCUGUGAUACUAAUCACAGUACACCAAGCUCUGCCAAUUAGCAAGUUCUCAAUUCAUCUUCCUGUCUACUCAUCUAUCCAAUGCUUCCUCAGCUUACUUACAAGAAUGUCAUGGGAGACAACAUCAAAAGCCUUGCUUAAGUCUGGCAUGGGACAGAUCCUUCAGCCCCCACUACUACCAGCUCCUUACUGCGUACAUCCCAUGUACCUUGGCUUGGCAGAUGUGGAUCCCCCAUGCCAGAUGCUAGUUGAUUGUGUGUGCAAACAUGGUGAUGAGGGCAUGGAGAACUACAGCUUGGUAUCUAAAUCCUGAAGAGUCAUUUUAUGUUGCUACUGAAAAUGUGGUGCAGAUCUCCAAUAUCUGCAAUGCACAGAGAUUUUAUUACCAUCCUGGAUUAAUGAGGUGACACCACACCUUUGAGUACAAAAGCUCCUUAGGCAGCAAGGUCUACUGUUAUGCAUUUCAGCAAGGGGAACGUUGCUUUAUUGCUUUCCUGGAGAGUAUCUACUCACAGUUGGCCAUAUACAACAUGAGACUGCAAGUAUCUAAUUUCAAGGAACAUCACUGCCUCAAGGUAUGCUGUCAGUAUACCCCGAGCUUUUUCUAUGAUUUUAUCUUGUUUGGUACCUAAGCCAGUUGCAAAAAAAGAAAACAGUAAUACAAUAAUAAAGGGCUGGAGCACCUAUCCUACUGUUGUGGUUUAACACAGCAGGCAGUUAAGCACCACACAGCUGUUAUGAGUGGGACAAGGGAAAGAAUUGGGAAAAACAAACAAACAAACAAAAACAACAAAGUAGAACUCAUGGGUAGAGAUAAAAGUAUUUUUACCAAGACACAAAAGGAGGAGAGGAAAAAAAAAUGGGAAUGAUAAUUAUACAUAUACAUCCUGAACAAGGACUGAGCAUCACUGACAGUAAAAUCAAAAACUUGAGGAAUAUCUGUAUAUCAAACAGGCCUCUUUGCUAGGCUACUCAGAGCCACAGUACAUGUUGGUCUAUCAUGUAUCAUCUAUCAUUGUUUGCCAGGCUGAAGAUGGGUCCUAGAUGUUUCAGCUUCUUAAAAGAGAGCACUCUUAGAAGCUCUUGGGGAGAUGUUUUAUGUCUUAAGGUAACAGAGAAGCAUUUUCUUGAUGAAUGAACAUCCCAGAGACAAGUCUGAAGCAAACAGUCCAGAAAAUAAAUGUGUGUGUGGAAGAGGUCAUUCAAAGUCAUAACAGUAACAACAUUUUAAUUUUUCACGCUGUAAGGGAUGUCAUAUGAUUAGUUUAUGUUUAAUAAUUCAUAUUCUAAUUAGUUUACCUGAUUAUUUCAGAAAAUCUUAGUGGCUUUUGCCCAGUGGAAAAACAGUGAACAAAUAUCUAGUCAUUGUCACUAGAAUUCCUUGUAAUAUAUGUGAUUGUUAUAUCUCUUCCCUUUCCCCUUUUCCCUUCCCCUUCUCAUUCCCUUUCCCUUCUCCUUCCUUUUCCCUCCCUCUUCUCAUUCCCCUUCUGUUUCUCUUUCCCUUCCCGUUUCCACUUCCCUUUCCCUUUCCUUUCCUUUUCCACUCCCUUUUCCCUUUCCCAAUCUGUAACUACUACACAUAUAGAAGUAAAAUGCAAGCCUUCCUGAAAGUGACAUCUGGCAAAACAAAAAACAACCACCUGAGGAUCUGAAAUUAUAUUAAGAGACAUCUUCUAUGGAAAUAGCAUGCAAAUAGCAUUUUGAUAGAGCAGUGCCAUGUUAAAGAAAUUCCUCUUGAUGUGUCCUGGUAGAAAUGUGCCAUCCGUGAUAAUCACAUUAAUACUGUGGUACUUCCUCUGAAUCACUCCAGCAUUACUCUGUAAUUCUGUGCUUUAUUUGCUUCAGGAUGAGAAAGGUCAGAAGGAGUGCUGUUUGCUUCUGUGCACCUGUGCUACGUUCUGCUCAGACACCACCUCCAAGUGGCUAAGAAUUCUGGAGCAAACUGACCCAAAAGAGGGCAAAAGGGGAUGAUGAGUAUUUUCAUCUCAGGUGGAUGUCACAUCUAAUUGUGUCACUGGGGAUACUUCAGUUAGCCACAACAUCAGCGUGGAUGUCAGGUUUUUCUGCUUCACCAUGUGUACUUAUUCCAGGAGUAACAAGCCUGAGUUCUGGCAACACCACCAACAUGAAACCUUCUGAUAAACCAGAAUCCUUCUUACGUAUAUGAACAUGCUGCAAUGAAUUCAGAGGAAUCUCCUGCGCAAUUGGUGCUCUGAAGUCCACCGAUAAGUAUAGGUUUGUGCUUCCUUAUGACUGAUGCUGAUUCAGUACUAUCAGGCAAACAGGUGCCACACAGAAUGAAUGGUGGAAAUGACAAAUACUGAAGUGAUUAUACUGUGUGGGCAGCUUUCGUUGAUGGUCCAUUAAGAUUUCCAUGAGGUUGUAUCAAUAUGUAUUCCAUUCUGGAUUUACAUUGCUCCUUGCCUGACUCUACUGUUGCCGUUUAACUGGACUGAUGGAAAACAAUCACAAGAGGAUACAAAUUCUAAGGGAAAUGCUCCAAAAUGUCUUUUACCAGCUGUAGGAGCAGGGAAGAGAGAAUAGCGUGUUUUUGGAUUUCCUGAUCAGGCUCCAGACUGGGUUGUCUUUUGCCAUCAGAAC